CAGCCGCCGCGGUAAUACGUAGGUGGCAAGCGUUGUCCGGAAUUAUUGGGCGUAAAGCGCGCGCAGGCGGUUCCUUAAGUCUGAUGUGAAAUCUCGCGGCUCAACCGCGAGCGGCCAUUGGAAACUGGGGAACUUGAGUGCAGGAGAGGGGAGCGGAAUUCCACGUGUAGCGGUGAAAUGCGUAGAGAUGUGGAGGAACACCAGUGGCGAAGGCGGCUCUCUGGCCUGUAACUGACGCUGAGGCGCGAAAGCGUGGGGAGCGAACAGGAUUAGAUACCCUGGUAGUCCACGCCGUAAACGAUGAGUGCUAAGUGUUAGAGGGUAUACACCCUUUAGUGCUGUAGCAAACGCAUUAAGCACUCCGCCUGGGGAGUACGGCCGCAAGGUUGAAACUUAAAGGAAUUGGCGGG
rnacentral:rRNA from 1 species